UUCCAUAAGAUAAAGAAAAGAAAAGAAAAAAAAAAUUAAAACACAAAUCUUCUUCUUCAAAAAAACGUCACUCUCUCUCUCCCACACCAAAACCACCAUGAAAGCUCAUUUUUGAGCUUGAAGAACCAAAAUCCAACCAUGGCCAAUUGUCCUACCAUAACUAGAUGUUGUUUGGACAACUAGGAAAGAGGAUUCAAAGAAAAGAAAGAAGAAAAAUUUGAAGAAAAGGGAGAAGAAAUUCUGCACACAAGUUGAAAAGAAUAUCGGGAAGGAACCCGAGGAAACGAGUCGAGGCUAAGGGACGACUCGCUUGAGAUAAAAGCAAGGAGAAAGC